rnacentral:rRNA from 1 species
AACGAACGCUGGCGGCAGGCUUAACACAUGCAAGUCGAACGGGCCCUUCGGGGUCAGUGGCAGACGGGUGAGUAACGCGUGGGAACGUGCCCUUCAGUUCGGGAUAACCCAGGGAAACUUGGGCUAAUACCGGAUACGUGCGAGAGCAGAAAGAUUUAUCGCUGAAGGAUCGGCCCGCGUCUGAUUAGCUGGUUGGUGGGGUAAUGGCCCACCAAGGCGACGAUCAGUAGCUGGUCUGAGUGGAUGAUCAGCCACAUUGGGACUGAGACACGGCCCAAACUCCUACGGGAGGCAGCAGUGGGGAAUAUUGGACAAUGGGCGCAAGCCUGAUCCAGCCAUGCCGCGUGAGUGAUGACGGCCUUAGGGUUGUAAAGCUCUUUCGCACGCGACGAUAAUGACGGUAGUCGGAGAAGAAGCCCCGGCUAACUUCGUGCCAGCAGCCGCGGUAACAC